CGAUACAUCGAUACAUGUUGCUGGCACGCUAGCAAAACAAAGUUGGCAAAAAAAAUAAAAAGUAACCAAUUAAAAUUACAUUUUAAAUAAGAAAUAAUUAUGUGCAACGGUGGCUCGCCCAGCAGCAACGGCUCUCAAGCCGAAGAGAACAACGAACACGAACAAGAACAGGCAGCUACGGAUCAAGAGGAACAGGCGUUGAGAACAGCCAUUGGGUCGUUCACUGCAGAAGAGAUUCUUGCUGAAUAUGGUAAAAAUUUAAAGUUGCUUACUUUAAAUUCUCAAGUGGCCGAGCUCUUGACCAUCAUUCGCGACAAAAACACCUCACGGAGUGAUUUUAAAUUUUAUGCUGACCGGCUAAUACGGCUCGUUAUCGAGGAAUCUCUAAACCAGUUGCCCUACUCCGAUUGCGCCGUGGAAACUCCAACGGGGGCCAUUUAUCAGGGCCUAAAAUAUCGUUCUGGCAACUGCGGCGUCUCCAUCAUACGAUCCGGAGAGGCCAUGGAGCAGGGCUUGCGGGAUUGCUGUCGUUCUAUACGCAUUGGAAAGAUUUUGGUCGAAUCGGAUGCCAAUACACACGAGGCUCGAGUGGUAUAUGCACGUUUUCCCGAUGACAUUGGUAGCCGCCAGGUGCUGCUCAUGUAUCCCAUCAUGUCCACAGGGAAUACUGUGUUAAAGGCAGUGAAUGUUUUGCGAGAGCAUGGAGUGCCUGAGGAGUGCAUCAUAUUGUCGAAUCUUUUCUGCACGCCUGUCGCCGCUCGUACCGUAGUCACUGCGUUUCCCAGAAUGCAGAUUCUCACCUCCGAGCUGCAUCCGGUGGCACCCAAUCAUUUUGGCCAGAAAUACUUUGGUACUGACUAGAUAGGUAGUCACAAAAAUGAAUAAGAAGCAGAAGCAUAACAUCAGCUCCUAAAAGACUUGACAACUAAGCUCGGCUUAGGAUAGAUGACUUUUAAAUCGGAGGUGGAGGUCAACUACUAUGCAAUUAUUUGGCUUUUUAUGUAAUAUGCAAAAAUACGCGACUCGUUUAUCUUAUGUAAAUAGAAACAGAAUAAAUAUUAUAUAUAUCACUUAA